AGCUGCCCUCCGUGUCCGUGUUGUCGCUGCCGGUGCUGGGCUCCCAGUCGGCUUCAUGGCGGCGGCCUGCGGGGGCUCUGCGGAGGGCGCGCUUCCUGGUAACGGGACCGAAUGGAAACAGCUCCUCGUGGGCAGAGCUGCACUCCUCGAACUGGAAUGGAACAAGGCAAAGUUGCUCUAAACCUCAAAGCAAGUUGCUCUAAAGCCUUGGAUCAAUGUUAUUAUCACACUAGACACGGCUGCUGUGUAAAGAUGGAGCCCUUCAAGGCUGAGGUGCUCUACAUGAUGAGCCCAUCUUGGGUUUGUUUGCAGCCCUGAAUCUAUUUCCAAGAAAUUAAGAGGAGAAAAUGGAAACUUGUGCCUUAAAAUGAUUAAGAAGAGCUGGUUGCUACCAUAGCCCAGCCCCUGGGAUGUGUGUAGAGCCUGCAUUGCAUCUGCUUGGGCCUGAAGCCUGCUAAAUCUAGUAAAUGUGUGUGUUUGGUGGCCCUGCUAGGCAGGGGGGUUGGAACUACGUGAUCCUUGAGGUCCCUUCCAACCCUGGUCAUUCUGUGAUAAAUCCAUUGUUAACAAGCACAUGAGUAAUUACAAACCCCAUUCAGACCAAAGAGAAUCAUUGUGGGCUCUUACAGUGGGCAACUCUGCAGGCAGAUUGCUUUCUCCAUUGCUGAACUGCUGGUUUUCGCCUUUGCAGCAUUCUUCUGAGAGAAAACAGAAAAGCAAAUCACAAUCUCAGUCACAGCUGCCAUGUUGAAGUAACUUCUCCUUCCACCAGUUCAUCACACGGCAAUAGCUGUCAUGUAAGAGCUGCCCAGCAGUAUACAGCAUCCACAGCAAGCCAAACCCAGGCCUUGAAACAUUCAGUAUUCAAUCUUGUGACCAUUGCACAAGACCCUGCUCAUUCUGCGUGACCUCUGAGUCUUGUUUAGACUGGAUGGAAUUCCCCAUAGGAUCACCAGACACCAUCUGUCUAAUUUCUGCUUGUGGAGAAGCAAAAUGAACCAGUGCAGAGCAGCACCUCUGCCUAAUGUCACUGAAAGAAUAAUGAUGGAGAUAACAAGAAGAAAUCCCACUAAACAUGAAUCACAGUUUGUUGGUGUUGGGCCACAGGGAAGAUGUGCACAUUCAGAUACUCAACAGAUCGUAUUUUAGCUCAACUCCUAAUGCAGUGAUCAGAUACUGUGAUAUGUCAUUCUGAUUUGGCUGAGGUAGGGUAAGAAAAGGCUUUGUUUCAGUGUGGCAGCUGCUGUGAAAAGUCUCCCAUCUCAGAGAAUGAUUGCUUAAUUCUUUCAGGUGAGGAUCUCUGCUUGAUUCCUUCCUUUUGGAACAUGUUUCAAAGGAGAAUCUCAAGCUUUAAAGGACCCUGUUUGCUCUUCUCUGUGCUGCUGAAUCAUUUCCACUGGGGCUGCCACAAGAACUGAACCAGGGACAGUGUUAAUUACAUGGUUCUGCUUUUGUGAAAAUAGCCUGCAACAUAAGAGAGAGGAAAGAAAUGUCUCUGGGGAAAGACAUGUGGUUGAGCUGGAGUGGAAGGAUGCUUGUUCCAUUCUCAGCUCAGCCACAAACACGAGAGGACUGUGUGAAGAAGAGGCAUCCAGGAGCUGCUUUUUGAAGGCAUUGUGUACCAGGUGAUUUUGGCUGGCCCAAUUCAGAAGGCAGUGCUCAAAUGUCUCAUUUAAUUCCACGAACUCUCAUACCCUGCUCCUAUUUCACCCAAAUGACCAAACCCUCAGUCAGUGGAUUCCUCUUCUGCACUAAAAGUGUCUGUUCCUGUCCCUCUGAACACUGGGAAACCCCAUCAAGAACCAUGCUGUAUGUUUUCCCCAGUAGAAACCUUACUUUCAGUCAGGUGUGUAUCUUCAUCUAGGUGAGCAUGAAGAGUAAGCUAUUGGGACACAAACAAAUUAAGAUCAUGAGAAGUACUCCAUAUUCUUUCUCAGACAAUAGCUAGGAACAAAUGCAGGAACACAGGACACAGGCAUAUAACCGACCUUCCCCCACUGCAUCUUGCUGUAAGCAAAACAGGAAACAUUCUGAACUAGAAGCUGUGUAUCUACACACAGACUUAUCCUCCAUGACUAUGGGCUCAUUCAUUUUGUCUCCAGACAAUGUGACAACCCCUACCACAGUUAUGAACUAAGCUGGAAAAAA